UACGUAGGUGGCAAGCGUUGUCCGGAAUCACUGGGCGUAAAGCGCGCGCAGGCGGCGAUCUACGUCUGGGGUGAAAGCCCGGAGCUCAACUCCGGGACUGCCUUGGAUACGGGAUCGCUUGAGGAUUGGAGAGGCAAGGGGAAUUCCACGUGUAGCGGUGAAAUGCGUAGAUAUGUGGAGGAACACCUGUGGCGAGGGCGCCUUGCUGGCCAAUUUCUGACGCUGAGGCGCGAAAGCGUGGGGAGCAAACAGG
rnacentral:rRNA from 1 species